rnacentral:rRNA from 1 species
UACGUAGGGUGCAAGCGUUGUCCGGAAUUAUUGGGCGUAAAGAGCUCGUAGGCGGCUUGUCGCGUCGGCUGUGAAAACCUGGGGCUCAACUCCGGGCCUGCAGCCGAUACGGGCAAGCUAGAAUUCGGUAGGGGAGACUGGAAUUCCUGGUGUAGCGGUGAAAUGCGCAGAUAUCAGGAGGAACACCGGUGGCGAAGGCGGGUCGCUGGGCCGAUAUUGACGCUGAGGAGCGAAAGCGUGGGGAGCGAACAGG